rnacentral:misc_RNA from 1 species
CAUUUUGAGGAAGGAGAAGUCGUAACAAGGUUUCCGUAGGUGGACCUGCGGAAGGAUCAUUGUCGAUACCUGCCCAGCAGAACGACCCGUGAACUUGUAAUAACCUUCUGGGUUGGGGUGUCAUGCCCCCUCCCAAAAACGGUUGGGAGGGCACGAUGAAAGCUGCCCACCGCUCCUCGUGUGUGGCGGGUCAGUCUCCUCGUUCCCUUCCCGGUCGAACAAUGAACCCCGGCGCGGUCUGCGCCAAGGAACUCAAACAAGGAGUAACCACGGUCGCCCCGGAAACGGUGUGCGUGCCGUUGGUGACAUCUUACCACGAUACAUAACGACUCUCGGCAACGGAUAUCUCGGCUCUCGCAUCGAUGAAGAACGUAGCGAAAUGCGAUACUUGGUGUGAAUUGCAGAAUCCCGCGAAUCAUCGAGUCUUUGAACGCAAGUUGCGCCCGAAGCCAUUCGGCCGAGGGCACGUCUGCCUGGGUGUCACGCAUCGUUGCCCCCACCCCAACACCUCGUAUGAUGUGUACGGUGCGGGGCAGAAAUUGGCCUCCCGUGUGCGUUGCUCGCGGUUAGCCUAAAAGCGAGUCCUGGGCGACGAGCGCCACGACAAUCGGUGGUUGACAAAACCCUCGUGCCCCGUCGUGCGUUGCUCGACGCCGUGAAGGCUCUCCUCGACCCUAUUGCGUCGUUCUUGCGACUCUACCAUCGCGACCCCAGGUCA